CUACGGGAGGCAGCAGUGGGGAAUAUUGCACAAUGGGCGCAAGCCUGAUGCAGCCAUGCCGCGUGUAUGAAGAAGGCCUUCGGGUUGUAAAGUACUUUCAGCAGUGAGGAAGGUGGAGUCGUUAAUAGCGGCCUCAUUUGACGUUAGCUGCAGAAGAAGCACCGGCUAACUCCGUGCCAGCAGCCGCGGUAAUACGGAGGGUGCGAGCGUUAAUCGGAAUUACUGGGCGUAAAGCGCAUGCAGGUGGUUUGUUAAGUCAGAUGUGAAAGCCCGGGGCUCAACCUCGGAAUUGCAUUUGAAACUGGCAGACUAGAGUACUGUAGAGGGGGGUAGAAUUUCAGGUGUAGCGGUGAAAUGCGUAGAGAUCUGAAGGAAUACCGGUGGCGAAGGCGGCCCCCUGGACAGAUACUGACACUCAGAUGCGAAAGCGUGGGGAGCAAACAGGAUUAGAUACCCUGGUAGUCCACGCCGUAAACGAUGUCUACUUGGAGGUUGUGGCCUUGAGCCGUGGCUUUCGGAGCUAACGCGUUAAGUAGACCGCCUGGGGAGUACGGUCGCAAGAUUAAAACUCAAAUGAAUUGACGGGGGCCCGCACAAGCGGUGGAGCAUGUGGUUUAAUUCGAUGCAACGCGAAGAACCUUACCUACUCUUGACAUCCUCUGUAGCUUGUAGAGAUACGAGUGUGCCUUCGGGAACUGAGAGACAG
rnacentral:rRNA from 1 species